rnacentral:pre_miRNA from 1 species
AAUAAGUGCUGUUUUGCACUAUUCACGUUUAACGUUUGACCAUUCGUCUUAUUUGAAAAUUUUUUAUGAUUAGUAUUUUUAUUGCUAUUAGAUGAUAAAACAUGAAUAGUACUUUAUGUGUGACUAAAUAUUUUCAAAUUUUUUAAAUAAGACGGACGGUCAAACGUUGGGCACGGAUAUCCACGACUGCACUUAUU